AACUUUUGGCAACGGAUCACUGAUAACUGUACGAACUUUUAGCAAUGGAUCUCUUGGUUCUGGCAUCGAUGAAGAACGCAGCGAAAUGCGAUAAGUAAUGUGAAUUGCAGAAUUCAGUGAAUCAUCGAAUCUUUGAACGCACAUUGCGCCCCUUGGUAUUCCGGGGGGCAUGCCUGUUCGAGCGUCAUUACACCCCUCAAGCCUGGCUUGGUAUUGGGCUCCGCCGUUUGUUCGGCGGGCCUUAAAAUCAGUGGCGGUGCCUCCGUGGCCCUGAGCGUAGUAAAUUUCCUCGCUUGUGGACCCGGCGGUUACUGGCCAGCAACCCCCAACUUCUAAGUUUGACCUCGGAUCAGGUAGGGAUACCCGCUGAACUUAAGCAUAUCAAUAAGCGGAGGCU
rnacentral:misc_RNA from 1 species